rnacentral:rRNA from 1 species
GACGAACGCUGGCGGCGUGCUUAACACAUGCAAGUCGAACGGAAAGGCCCUGCUUUUGUGGGGUGCUCGAGUGGCGAACGGGUGAGUAACACGUGAGUAACCUGCCCUUGACUUUGGGAUAACUUCAGGAAACUGGGGCUAAUACCGGAUAGGAGCUCCUGCUGCAUGGUGGGGGUUGGAAAGUUUCGGCGGUUGGGGAUGGACUCGCGGCUUAUCAGCUUGUUGGUGGGGUAGUGGCUUACCAAGGCUUUGACGGGUAGCCGGCCUGAGAGGGUGACCGGCCACAUUGGGACUGAGAUACGGCCCAGACUGCUACGGGGGGCAGCAGUGGGGAAUAUUGCACAAUGGGCGGAAGCCUGAUGCAGCAACGCCGCGUGCGGGAUGACGGCCUGCGGGUUGUAAACCGCUUUCGCCUGUGACGAAGCGUGAGUGACGGUAAUUGGUAAAGAAGCACCGGCUAACUACGUG